GACGUGAUUUGGCAAUGACUCGAGGUAGAGAAAACCUGUUACCAAUUUAUAUGGCAGCUCUGUUGGGGCAUAGAGGGAUGGUGUCAUAUCUUUAUGAUGGAACGAACGAGCAGUUAACAGAUAGCGAUCGCAUAACGUUACUUGUUGCUUUGAUCAACAGUGAAAUAUAUGAUUUGCGUUGAGAAUUCUAAAAGCACAUCCCGGGUUGGCCUGUGCUCGUGAUGAACAUCAGCUGACUGCUGGCGGCAUUGCAUGCACUUGCCCAAAAGUCUUGUAUGCCUUCAUAACGUUGUCGAUCAAAGUCCGAUCCUCCAGGAUUUUGGAACAAAUGCCUCGACCCAUUUUCAGGUUUCAAAUUGGCACAGAUGAAGAAACUUGUGCACAGACAAGCACUUGACAUAAUCCAGUACCUUUGGGAACAAGUUGUCUUGUUGGAUGAUUCAAGAAUCUCUAGCCAGAUUGGAAAACCCUGGCCAUUGAUAUUCACUGCUGCAGAAAGAGGGAACCUUGACUUGCUAACAAUACUUAUUCGCUUGUAUCCGGAGUUGAUCUUCAAAGUUGAUCAAAAUACGUAUAGCAUAUUUCAUAUUGCUAUCUUGAAUCGUCACGAGGACAUCUUCAAGAUUAUAUACCAGAUUGGUUCUAUUAAGAAUGUGAUGACAAUAUACAAAGAUAGAGAAGGAAAUAAUAUGUUGCAUUUGACCGCAAAAGUACUGGAAUCACCAAGUCGACUUAAUGUCACACCAGGAGCAGCUUUACAACUGCAACGCGAAUUGCUGUGGUUCGAGGUGACUAUUCUCUCUCUUUCCAUCAAAAAAAUACAUUUGAUUGUAGGUCAUAUGCAUUAAGCCAACCUUAUUCGUCCAUCAUAUGAUAAGUGGAUAAGAUCGAUGUUCAUAUGCACGCGCAUGUGAUUAAAUAUUGCUAUAAUAUUCUCCUUCUAUAUAUGAAUACCUCGCAGUCUGAUCUCUACAUGAUGAUCACGCAUGUUCCUUGUUCCAAGUAAUUUAAAAUCAACACA